rnacentral:rRNA from 1 species
AUUGAACGCUGGCGGCAUGCCUAACACAUGCAAGUCGAACGGCAGCAUGGUGCAGUUUACUGUACUGAUGGCGAGUGGCGGACGGGUGAGUAACGCGUAGGAAUACACCUUUAGGACUGGGACAACUUGUGGAAACGCGAGCUAAUACCGGAUAAUAUCUGAGGAUAAAAGCUGGGGACCUUAGGGCCUGGCGUCUAGAGAGUAGCCUACGUCUGAUUAGGUAGUUGGUGGGGUAAGGGCCUACCAAGGCGACGAUCGGUAGCUGGUCUGAGAGGAUGGACAGCCACACUGGGACUGAGAGACGGCCCAGACUCCUACGGGAAGCAGCAGUGGGGAAUAUUGGACAAUGGGGGGAACCCUGAUCCAGCCAUGCCGCGUGUGUGAAGAAGGCCUUAUGGUUGUAAAGCACUUUAAGCGAGGAGGAGGCUACUCUAGUUAAUACCUAGGGAUAGUGGACGUUACUCGCAGAAUAAGCACCGGCUAACUCUGUGCCAGCCGCCGCUGUAA